GAUGAAGAACGUAGCGAAAUGCGAUAAGUAGUGUGAAUUGCAGAAUUCAGUGAAUCAUCGAAUCUUUGAACGCACAUUGCGCCCCUUGGUAUUCCAUGGGGCAUGCCUGUUCGAGCGUCAUUUGUACCUUCAAGCUCUGCUUGGUGUUGGGUGAUUGUCUAUCUUUGUAGACUCGCCUUAAAGUCAUUGGCAGCCGGCAUAUUGGCCUGGGAGCGCAGCACAAGUCGCGCUUCUUGUCAUCAAUGUUGGCGUCCAGUAAGUCUACAUAUUUUGCUCUUGACCUCGGAUCAGGUAGGGAUACCCGCUGAACUUAAGCAUAUCAAUAGCGGAGGA
rnacentral:misc_RNA from 1 species